AAAAAAGGUAAGCUACUAAGAGCGAAUGGUGGAUGCCUUGACUGGUAAAGGCGAUGAAGGACGUACUAGACUGCGAUAAGCUACGGGGAGCUGUCAAGAAGCUUUGAUCCGUAGAUUUCCGAAUGGGGCAACCCAAUGUAUAGAGAUAUACAUUACCUAUAUAGGAGCGAACGAGGGGAAUUGAAACAUCUUAGUACCCUCAGGAAAAGAAAUCAAUAGAGAUUGCGUCAGUAGCGGCGAGCGAAAGCGCAAGAGGGCAAACCCAGUGCUUGCACUGGGGGUUGUAGGACUGCAAUGUGCAAGAGGUGAGUUUAGCAGAACAUUCUGGAAAGUAUAGCCAUAGAGGGUGAUAGUCCCGUAUGCGAAAAACAAACCUUAGCUAGCAGUAUCCUGAGUAGGGCGGGACACGAGAAAUCCUGUCUGAAGCUGGGUCGACCACGAUCCAACCCUAAAUACUAAUACCAGAUCGAUAGUGCACAAGUACCGUGAGGGAAAGGUGAAAAGAACUGAGGUGAUCAGAGUGAAAUAGAACCUGAAACCAUUUGCUUACAAUCAUUCAGAGCCCUAUGUAGCAAUACAGGGUGAUGGACUGCCUUUUGCAUAAUGAGCCUGCGAGUUGUGGUGUCUGGCAAGGUUAAGCAAACGCGAAGCCGUAGCGAAAGCGAGUCUGAAUAGGGCGCUUAGUCAGAUGCUGCAGACCCGAAACGAAGUGAUCUAUCCAUGAGCAAGUUGAAGCUAGUGUAAGAACUAGUGGAGGACUGAACCCAUAGGCGUUUAAAAGCCCCGGGAUGACUUGUGGAUAGGGGUGAAAGGCCAAUCAAACUUCGUGAUAGCUGGUUCUCUCCGAAAUAUAUUUAGGUAUAGCGUUGUGUCGUAAUAUAAGGGGGUAGAGCACUGAAUGGGCUAGGGCAUACACCAAUGUACCAAACCCUAUCAAACUCCGAAUACCUUAUAUGUAAUCACAGCAGUCAGGCGGCGAGUGAUAAAAUCCGUCGUCAAGAGGGAAACAACCCAGACUACCAGCUAAGGUCCCUAAAUCUUACUUAAGUGGAAAACGAUGUGAAGUUACUUAAACAACCAGGAGGUUGGCUUAGAAGCAGCCAUCCUUUAAAGAAAGCGUAAUAGCUCACUGGUCUAGUGAUUUUGCGCGGAAAAUAUAACGGGGCUAAAGU
rnacentral:rRNA from 1 species